AAGGAAGCACACACACCCUCAGUCAUGAGGCAAAGGUAACACACACACACACACGCUCAGUCAUGGGGCAAAGGUCACACACACACACACACACGCUCAGUCAUGGGGCAAAGGUCACACACGCACGCUCAGUCAUGGGGCAAAGGUCACACACACACACGCAUGCUCAGUCAUGGG